UUAAUGAGCGUUAAAUAUGUA
rnacentral:piRNA from 1 species